ACUUGGCGAGACGCUUUCUGGAGACAAACUGCUAUGCCGUGAUCCCCUCCUCUGACCCCGCCAGCAGGUCGCACCCUCGGGUGGCUAGGAAUACCUCUUGAGUGCCCGCGGAUACCGAUAUGACCAGGGGCAUCACCUUUUUGGUCUUCCGGUUCAUAUAAGCAAGGUUGCGCCCGAUUAUGUCUGUCCAAUCCAGGCGCCUGACCAGCUGACAUCGCGAACUCCCAGCCGGCUCCCGGGCACGGGGCCACGAUGCCGUGUGCCUCUUGAGCCAUGAUUCUUGUGGCUUUUUGUCCGAAAUUUUAGUCCGGCCACUGCCAUAGCCAUCUUCCUUGCGUCCCCCGCUGUUUUCUCCUCCACUGGUGAUUCCGCCGUAGUUCCUCGUCCUCUGUGACAGCCACUGGCUUGCCUGUCCUGAUGCCGCUGCAACGUUAGUGAUGAUCAGUGAGCUGCAGUGAUCGACGGCGGAGUUGUUGGUUCACGCCAACGGGAAAUAAUGUCAGCAACCCCCCAUUCAUAAGCUGCCGAAUGAAACGCUGGGCUUCAGCAUCGAGACGCGUAAGUAAAUCAGUAUAAUCAAGACGGACCAUGGCACGCCCAGAUUGGGCUACAAAUCAGGAUAGGGUUUUUGGAGUCCUUAGCGAAGUAUCAAGGAUAUUUUUCCAAAUACACGAACCUAUGGAACGGCCAGAUCGGCCCACAAAUAACGAAGAAAACAGGAAAAAUAUGACUGCAGAAAAUAUCCUGGAUCUUUGGCCCAUGGUAAGGACUUCACCAAAUCAAAUAUUUUCUUAAGAUCACAGGAAGCUGUUGCACGCCUAGAUCGGACCAUAAAUAGCGAAGAAAUCAAAAUAUGUAUGAAUCAUGAAAAUCGAGAUUUUGAUGCCGUUCGACAGUCUGGAUCGUCACGAUCCUGGGAGAGUUGGUCCUUUACCGAUCGGCCCCUAAAUAGCCGAGAUAUAGCAUUUUGAAGAUUUAGAUUUUGCAUUUCAUUAGAGUACUGGUUUUUUCUGCACGCUAUAUCUCUGCCAUACGGCAGCUGAUCGGAGUGCGGUAUGUAUUCUUGCGAUCGGGAGAGUCCUCCCAAUCGACUGCCAUCGGAAAAAGGGACAUCCAUUUUUUCACGAUUUUCGCCAAAAAUCAUGAUGGUUAAUCCUCACGAUCCUGGGAGAGUUGGUCCGUCAACAAUCUGGCCCUAUUUAUCCGGGAUAUAGCCUUCCGAAGAUUUCCAUAUCAUUAAAAUACUGUUACUUUAUUGAACUCUAUCUUUCUUUUUAGCAGGUCGCACCCUCGGGUGGCUAGGAAUACCUCUUGCGUGCCCGCGGUCACCGAUUCGCUUGUUUACCAGGGGCAUCACCCUUUUGGUCUUCCGGUUUAUAUGAGCGAGUGUGCGAUGAUUCCAGUCGCGCGCGGCUGGGGCCUUUUGUCCGACAUUUUGGUCCGGCCACUACCAUGGCCCUCUUCCCUGCAUGCCACGCUGUUUUCUUCGUCUUUUCAGUUCGCUCGCUGUCGGUAACUCCUCGUCCUCUGUGGCAGCCACUGACUGGCCUAUCCUGAUGACGCUGCUGUGUAGCUGGCCCUGCUAGUGGCGCCCGUCCGCUGCAGCAGUGACCAGUGAUCGACGGCGGAGUUGUUGGUUCACGCCAACGGGAAAUAAUUUCAGCAACCCCGCCUUCAUAAGCUGCCGAAUCAAACGCUGGGCUUCAGCUUCACGACACAGGACUUACUUAUGUACCCUACGCUUUGCCACAAACCAUGUCGUAUCUGAUUUGACCCAGCCAGACGGUCCUAUCCAAGCAUGAGCGAGGCGUUUUCGAGUCAGACCGAGUAUCCCAUUGCAAGAUUCAUACCUAACAAGCCAUCGUCAUCCUUCAACAUGGUGAUCGACAAGAAGGACUUUGACUAUGGCCACCAAGGGAGGAGCUACGCGGGACGCUAGAUACACGCAUCCAUUCAUUUAGAUAGUACUUAAAAAAUGUUUUCCACUUUAUUUAUUUAUACUAAGCUAAGUUUUGAUGAAUAAAACUAUUGAAAAAUCA